ACCAGCAGCCAUAUCACCCUGUAGCUCUCAACUGGCUACCCACUGAAGCUUAGCAGGGUUGAGCCUGGUCAGUACCUGGAUGGGAGACCUCCUGGGAAGCUAUGGUUGCUGCUGGAA
ensembl:rRNA 5S_rRNA 5S ribosomal RNA